rnacentral:rRNA from 1 species
AUGGGGUGACUGCGUACCUUUUGUAUAAUGGGUCAGCGACUUAUAUUCUGUAGCAAGGUUAACCGCAUAGGGGAGCCGUAGGGAAACCGAGUCUUAACUGGGCGAAUGAGUUGCAGGGUAUAGACCCGAAACCCGGGUGAUCUAUCCAUGGGCCAGGUUGAAGGUUGGGUAACACUAACUGGGAGGACCGAACCGACUAAUGUUGAAAAAUUAGCGGAUGACUUGUGGAUGGGGGUGAAAGGCCAAUCAAACCGGGAGAUAGCUGGUUCUCCCCGAAAGCUAUUUAGGUAGCGCCUCGUGAACUCAUCUUCGGGGGUAGAGCACUGUUUCGACUAGGGGGUCAUCCCGACUUACCAACUCGAUGCAAACUGCGAAUACCGAAGAAUGUUAUCACGGGAGACACACGGCGGGUGCUAACGUCCGUCGUGAAGAGGGAAACAACCCAGACCGCCAGCUAAGGUCCCAAAGUCAUGGUUAAGUGGGAAACGAAGUGGGAAGGCUCAGACAGCCAGGAUGUUGGCUUAGAAGCAGCCAUCAUUUAAAGAAAGCGUAAUAGCUCACUGGUCGAGUCGGCCCGCGCGGAAGAUGUAACGGGGCUAAACCAUGCACCGAAGCUGCGGCAGCGAACGUAUCACUUAAAUUUGUUUGAGUGAAUAACGAUUGACGGAACGAAGUGACGUCAAUGCGUUAAUGAAAGUCGAGGCGAAAGCACGACAAAGCGAAUUUAAGGAUACGUUCGUUGGGUAGGGGAGCGUUCUGUAAGCCUGCGAAGGUGUACUGUGAGGUAUGCUGGAGGUAUCAGAAGUGCGAAUGCUGACAUAAGUAACGAUAAUGCGGGUGAAAAACCCGCACGCCGGAAGACCAAGGGUUCCUGUCCAACGUUAAUCGGGGCAGGGUGAGUCGACCCCUAAGGCGAGGCUGAAAAGCGUAGUCGAUGGGAAACGGGUUAAUAUUCCCGUACUGGUGGUAACUGCGAUGGGGGAACGGAGAAGGCUAGGUUGUCCGGGCGACGGUCGUCCCGGUUCAAGCAGGUAGGCAGAGUGAUUAGGCAAAUCCGGUCACUUAAUGCUGAGAUGUGAUGACGAACCACCAAGGUGGUGAAGCAAUUGAUGCCCCGCUUCCAGGAAAAGCCUCUAAGCUUCAGGUUACCAACAAUCGUACCCCAAACCGACACAGGUGGUCAGGUAGAGAAUACUCAGGCGCUUGAGAGAACUCGGGUGAAGGAACUAGGCAAAAUGGUGCCGUAACUUCGGGAGAAGGCACGCUGGCGGUAGGUAAAGUCCCUUGCGGACGGCGCUGAAGCCAGUCGAAGAUACCAGCUGGCUGCAACUGUUUAUUAAAAACACAGCACUGUGCAAACACGAAAGUGGACGUAUACGGUGUGACGCCUGCCCGGUGCUGGAAGGUUAAUUGAUGGGGUCAGCCGUAAGGCGAAGCUCCUGAUCGAAGCCCCAGUAAACGGCGGCCGUAACUAUAACGGUCCUAAGGUAGCGAAAUUCCUUGUCGGGUAAGUUCCGACCUGCACGAAUGGCGUAAUGAUGGCCAGGCUGUCUCCACCCGAGACUCAGUGAAAUUGAACUCGCUGUGAAGAUGCAGUGUACCCGCGGCAAGACGGAAAGACCCCGUGAACCUUUACUAUAGCUUGACACUGAACAUUGAGCCUUGAUGUGUAGGAUAGGUGGGAGGCUUUGAAGUGUGGACGCCAGUCUGCAUGGAGCCAACCUUGAAAUACCACCCUUUAACGUUUGAUGUUCUAACCUAGGCCCAUAAACUGGGUCGGGGACCGUGUCUGGUGGGUAGUUUGACUGGGGCGGUCUCCUCCUAAAGAGUAACGGAGGAGCACGAAGGUUGGCUAAGCAUGGUCGGACAUCAUGCGGUUAGUGCAAAGGCAUAAGCCAGCUUGACUGCGAGAGUGACGGCUCGAGCAGGUACGAAAGUAGGUCUUAGUGAUCCGGUGGUUCUGAAUGGAAGGGCCAUCGCUCAACGGAUAAAAGGUACUCCGGGGAUAACAGGCUGAUACCGCCCAAGAGUUCAUAUCGACGGCGGUGUUUGGCACCUCGAUGUCGGCUCAUCACAUCCUGGGGCUGAAGUAGGUCCCAAGGGUAUGGCUGUUCGCCAUUUAAAGUGGUACGCGAGCUGGGUUUAGAACGUCGUGAGACAGUUCGGUCCCUAUCUGCCGUGGGCGUUGGAAGAUUGAGAGGGGUUGCUCCUAGUACGAGAGGACCGGAGUGAACGCACCACUGGUGUUCGGGUUGUCAUGCCAAUGGCAUUGCCCGGUAGCUAAGUGCGGAAGAGAUAACCGCUGAAGCAUCUAAGCGGGAAACUUGCCUCGAGAUGAGUCUUCCCUGUCGCUUUAAGCGACCUAAAGGAACGUUUAAGACUAAGACGUUGAUAGGCUGGGUGUGUAAGCGUAGCGAUACGUUGAGCUAACCAGUACUAAUGAACCGUGAGGCUUAACCUG